rnacentral:lncRNA from 1 species
AUCGCCCAAGUACUACGAGAGUAAGCUAAGUUUAUCAGGUGGGCAUUAUUUUGAGUAUACAUAUUAUACGAGCUUUCUUAAAUGAUAUGAUACUUAUGAUUAUGAAUUGAGUUAAUGUUACGCUUGAAACUAAUUGACUUGCCGAGUUUUGUUAAUAAUGACUUGUGUGUUACCCUCUACUGAUGAGACGAAUUCGGUCCUGCCACAAGCGGGAUUUUGUGCACAGAGGUGACUGUGAGCCGUCUAUCGGGUCGGCCGGUCACGGUACUUGAGAGGGAGGCCUACUUCUCAGUACCUUUGAUGAUGAGUAGUGGAUGUGGUACAUACUUAAUGAAUAUUUAAACUGCGCAGUUACUUUUUUGUGAUGUUUAUGAUUUGCGAAAUUGCAUGCACAGGUUCUUCUCUAACUAAAACCCAUGUGUGUUGCUUAAUGUGGCAAGUUCAAUUUAUAGCUCUAAGAGCAAGCUUUCUUUUGUUUUUCGGCAUAUGUCCACUGAGUACUUUGUACUCAGCCCUGCAUGUAUUUCUAAAUGUGCAGGAUAAGCGAGGAUGGAGAAUGGUCUGGUGCUGGCGAGGAUUUUGUUCCGAUGUUAUCCUUUUACCGUAUUUAUAUUACAUACGGUAGCUUUUUGAUGUUGAUGUUUAUAUUUUGGACUUAGUCAAGAAGUAUACUCUCGGCUAUAUGUCUUCAUACAUAUAGUCUGUACACGUUUUGCUGCGAGACUCUGUAAAUUAUAAACCUUUAUAAAUUUUUAACUAUUUUCGCUUUGUAAACUUUAUCGAGAAUCCCUGUACUUUUGAACUUACGAAGCCGAUAAUAUUUGUGUCUUUGAGAUGAUGUUAUUGUUGUUCAUCCUUGCA